rnacentral:rRNA from 1 species
AUUGAACGCUGGCGGCAGGCCUAACACAUGCAAGUCGAGCGAACGGCGGACGGGUGAGUAAUGUAUGUGGAUCUUCCCGAUAGCGGGGGAUAACUACUGGAAACGGUGUCUACUACCGCCUACUAUCGGAUGAACCCAUAUGGGAUUAGCUAGUAGGUGGGGUAAAGGCUCACCUAGGCUACGAUCUCUAGCUGGUCUAGGAGGAUGAUCAGCAACACGGGGACUGAGACACGGCCCAGACUCCUACGGGAGGCAGCAGUGGGGAAUAUUGCACAAGGGGCGCAAGCCUGAUGCAGCCAUGCCGCGUGUAUGAAGAAGGCCUUAGGGUUGUAAAGUACUGUCAGCGGGGAGGCGUUACCAGCAGAAGAAGCACCGGCUAACUCCGUGCCAGCAGCCGCGGUAAUUC